GAUGAACGCUGACAGAAUGCUUAACACAUGCAAGUCAUUGGCGAAGCUGCGCUUGCGCAGUCUAGCCAAGGCGGACGGGUGAGUAACGCGUAAGGAACUUGCCCUGCAGACAGGGAUAACAGACGGAAACGACUGAUAACACCUGGUAUUGUCAGGCUGGCGCAUGCCGGCCUGAUGAAAGGAGACGCUGCAGGAGAGCCUUGCGUCCUAGUGGCUAGUUGGUGGGGUAACGGCCCACCAAGGCGAUGAUAGGUAGCCGGCCUGAGAGGGUGAACGGCCACAAGGGGAGUGAGAUACGGACCGUACUCCCACGGGAGGCAGCAGUAGGGAAUAUUGGACAAUGGCGGAAACCCGGAUCCAGCACUGCUGUGGGCAAGAAGAAGGUUUUCGGAUUGUAAAGUGCUGACAGCAGGGAAGAAGAAAGUGACGGUACCUGCAGAAGAAGCGACGGCUAAAUACGU
rnacentral:rRNA from 1 species